rnacentral:rRNA from 1 species
UACAGAGGUCCCAAGCGUUGUUCGGAUUCACUGGGCGUAAAGGGUGCGCAGGUGGGUUUGCAAGUUCGAUGUGAAAGCCCCGGGCUUAACCCGGGAAUGGCAUUGGAUACUGCAGAUCUGGAGGAUCGGAGGGGGGACUGGAAUUCUUGGUGUAGCAGUGAAAUGCGAAGAUAUCAAGAGGAACACCAGUGGCGAAGGCGAGUCCCUGGACGAUACCUGACACUGAGGCACGAAAGCGUGGGGAGCAAACAGG